GCCAGGCGUGGUGGUGCAUGCCUGUAAUCCCAGCUACUGGGGAGGCUGAGGCAGGAGAAUCGCUUGAACCCAGGAGGCAGAGGUUGCAGUGAGCCGAGAUCGCACCACUGCACUCCAGCCUGGGGGACAGAGCGAGACUCUGUCUCAA
rfam:Homo sapiens chromosome X, GRCh38 reference primary assembly.